CUCAGCAUCCAGAGAAGCUUGUUGUUCGUGGUGGUCAAAUUAUCAAGAAACCAGACGUCUGAUCGGGUUUCUUUUAGCAUGCAGAUUUCUUCAGUAUCUUGGGUUCCCUCAACUUUUUCCACUCGUCUUCUCAACAGCUAAUUCCUGCCUAAGAUGCGGUUCCUGUUCGGGCUUCUGCGUUCCUGGGCUUUGAAUGCCUCGGCUCUUCGCGGUAAGGCAUGUACGGCAUUUCCAUGCAUUAUUUUUGGAGUUUCUAUUUUUGCCCUUGGAAGUACUUUCACCGGAACAUGUUCCCGCGUGGUACCCAUAUCCACAGUCCGAACAUGUUAAAUACUUCGUAACUUCAGGUAGUGGUUCGUUACAGUGUACACAAACCUCCGGAAUCAGCACAUCC